CGUGUACUUCGGGGUCGGUGUAAGUCCGAGCCGGCGGUGAUAGUCCGCGACCCGCAAUACCUAUUGCGGUUGAACUGGUGAAACUCCAGUACCGACAGUUAAAGCCUGGAUGGGAGAAGUAGUUG
rnacentral:ncRNA from 2 species